GUACUUUGAAAAGAGAGUCAAAAAGACCGCGAAACCGUUAGGAGGGAAACGAAUGCAGCCAAAGUGGCUCUCAUUCAGGCUCAGGAGUUGUCGGUGCGCAGUGCCAGGCUGUUGGACACCGAAGGGUGCGGCAGUCAGGAUACAGCAUGCCGAGCACUCUGCAUUCCUGAUGAGAGUCGGCCAACAGCAGUUACCCCUGACUCGAAAGGGCUGUCGGGAAGGUAGCUUCUUGGUUUACCAGGAAGAACUUAUAGCCAUCGGCCUGGCAGUUGGGGGUGACUGAGGAGUGCUGUGACUUUUCACACCAGCAGUGCAGGCUCCCUAGGGGCCGGGUCGCUUCUGUCCGUGUGGGCAAUGCUUCCGGGACUGCAUGCAGUGUCGGAAGACAUGUGUGUGCUCGGGUGGGAGGUUGGCCACGCCUUGCACUGAAGUUGUUGGUACCUGGAUGGUUUCAUUCGACCCGUCUUGAAACACGGACCAAGGAGUGCAACAUGCGUGCGAGUCUUGGGGUGGAAAACCUGUUGGCGCAAUGAAAGUGAAGGUAGGCAUUGGUCUACCGAGGCAAGAGCCACCUUGGGGUGGCACAUUGUCGACCGAUCCCAGGCUACGCUGUAGUGGGAUUUGAGUGAGAGCGUGCCUGUUGCGACCCGAAAGAUGGUGAACUAUGCCUGAAUAGGGCGAAGCCAGAGGAAACUCUGGUGGAAGCUCGUAGCGAUUCUGACGUGCAAAUCGAUCGUCAAAUUUGGGUAUAGGGGCGAAAGACUAAUCGAACCAUCUAGUAGCUGGUUCCCUCCGAAGUUUCCCUCAGGAUAGCUGGAGCCCGGUGCAGUUUUAUCAGGUAAAGCGAAUGAUUAGAGGUCUUGGGGUUGAAACAACCUCAACCUAUUCUCAAACUUUAAAUGGGUAAGAAGCUCGGCUUGCUUAGUUGAAGUCGGGCCCGGAAUGCCGGGGCUUCUAGUGGGCCAUUUUUGGUAAGCAGAACUGGCGAUGCGGGAUGAACCGAAAGCUGGGUUAAGGUGCCCGAGUCGACGCUCAUCAGAUACCAUGAAAGGUGUUGGUUGAUCUAGACAGCAGGACGGUGGCCAUGGAAGUCGGAAUCCGCUAAGGAGUGUGUAACAACUCACCUGCCGAAUCAACUAGCCCUGAAAAUGGAUGGCGCUGAAGCGUCGCACCCAUACCCGGCCGUCGGGCUGAGGGGCAUGGCCCGACGAGUAGAAGGGCGCGGUGGUGSCUGUGCAGCCUUGGGCGCGAGCCUGGGUGAAGCUGCCACUGGUGCAGAUCUUGGUGGUAGUAGCAAAUAUUCAAACGAGAGCUUUGAAGACUGAAGUGGGGAAGGGUUCCAUGUGAACAGCAGUUGGACAUGGGUUAGUCGAUCCUAAGAGAAGGGAGAGGUCCUUGUGGAGGGCACAAUCGCCUCGGCGACCGUGCCGUCCCUCGAAAGGGAAUCGGGUUAACAUUCCCGAACCGGGAUGCGGAUAGGCCCUAGGCCAUUAGCGGCAACGCAAGCGAACUCGGAGACGUCGGCGAGAGCCCCGGGAAGAGUUCUCUUUUCUUCUUAACGGACUGGCACCCUGGAAUCAGAUUGGCUGGAGAUAGGGUUUAAUGUCCGGUAAAGCGCCACACUUGUGGUGGCGUCCGGUGCGCUCUCGACGGCCCUUGAAAAUCCGAGGGAGU
rnacentral:rRNA from 1 species